GUCUUCUCCGAGACCCGCGGCGCUGGGAGCUCCGCGUGCGAACUUGCCCGGGGCGAAAUCUGUUGCCCACCCUGGUCCCACCGUGCGAGCACACCUAGGCAGGUGCGACUAAGGGGCCGGGGGCGUCUCCCCAGCGCUGGAAAACGCUGUGCAGCGCCCUUCCCAGAUUUCUGCGUCCGCGCAACACAAACACACGCAACGCUAUCUCUACAAAAGGGUCAAUAAUAGGUGUUAUCCAGCGACCGAAACCCAGCUUUGGGCCGCGUGGAUAAAUACCUGUCCUCCCUACCAAGUGCACUGUGAGCCUGGAGGUGCUGCUAACGCUGGGAGAAGCGGUAGUGAAAUGAAGCGAGGCGACAGCUUUUACCAGUGUAGGGACAUUUAAAAACGGGAUAGAGAGCACAAGGAGCGUAGACAGUGUGUUAAGGGCAAUAAAGAGCGGGAAGGGAGCCCCGAUUCCUCUUCUGUUUGUUCUCAUGAUAGUCUUUUCCCCUUUAAUUUGAGUUCUAUGUUUUGUAUUGGGCUGAUACUUUUAGUCCUCGGCAAUAGGGUUGUGAGUCCUUUUUUGACUGCUUAGAAUUUUCCCCCUGGGAAUUGCUAGUCCGAUUUGCAAUCUUUCAGAGGGACAAAUGAAGUAACUCCAUAUACUUAGGACUCUGUACACCUACUCAAAUUUGGUCAUCUCGGUAAGUACCCAGGACAAGACGUUGAAGGAGUGAAGGUGUGCCAUUCCAAAAUAUGCCUAAUUGGUAUAUUGAUUAUUUCGAGCGGAAAACAUUGGAGAAAUGGUAGUUUCAGAAAGGGCAAGCUGACCUGCCUCUUCGAUGCAGCAGGCCACAAAGAUUUCUCUGGGAUGGGCAUCCUCUCCCUACCACGGUGAGAAAAUAGCCUUUAUCACCAAAGGCUUGGAAUUGAAGGCUGCAGUGGACCUGAAUAAACAUUCUUAACGAAGUAACCCUAUCUUCCACUAGGAGAUAUAGGAGAUUUUUUACAUAUAUCUUCUAGUGACUCCCUAGAAAAUGUUACUGCCUUUGUGAGCUGUGGAAGUUAACUCGAGUCACAGGGCACCAAAAUAUGUUAGCAGCUGCCCAUAUCCGAGACACGGCCCCAAAGUAUGUUACAGGCAGUGAAUUCCUACAGAUCUGCAGCAACCUCAAUUCUUGACUCCUCAGAAGAAAGAGUUCGACUGAGGGGCAUAAGGCAAAAGGAGAGACCAAGGCAAGUAUUAGAACAGAAGUGAAGUUUAUUAAAAAGCUUUGAAUGAAAGGAAGUACACUUGGAAGAGGGCCAAGCCAGUGACUUGAGAGAUCUAGUGCGUAGUUUGACCUUUUGACCUGGGGUUUUAUACGUUGGCAUACUUCUGGGGUCUUGCUUUUGGGGCUUUGCAUUACUUCUCUCCUGAUUCUUCCCUUAGAGUGAGCUGUCCACAGGCGCAUACUUGAGCCCACUUGCCCAACUCCUAAGAUCUUAUCGGGAAGCUGCUGAUCAACAGUUCAAGUGUUUUCUAUUAGGAGACUGCCUUUCCCUGGUGCCGGCUGUGACCAACUAUUAUUUUAGAGAGACAAUUAACAACCACCUGACCAUCACCUGAUGGCUGCCUGACAUUCCUGAUGUGUGUGUGUAUGAGGGGGAGCCCUCUCCUGCCCUGCUCAUGCCUGACUAGCUACCUACUGUAACACCUUAACCAGAUUUUCUUUGUCAUGGCUUUUCUUCUCAAAUUUAUCUCUCUUUACCUAAAAAAAUGAAUAAAAGCAUCUUACUUUGGCCACUUCUUCAGACUUCACUCUCUUGUGAAGAUCCCCAUGUGCACAUAAAACUAAUAAAAUGUGUAUACUUUUCUCCUGGUAAUCUUCCUGGUGUCAGUGUGGUUUCUAGAUACAACUGGAGAGCUCAUUAAGAGGUAAAAGGGAGCUUGGAGGUGAUCUCUGGCUCCCCUAUAACAUCAUAAGAAAGAUCUAAGUAAGGGAUUGGACCACCUCUUCUCAUCCUCAAAACCACACCACUACCACCACCCAUUUGCUGCCUUAGGUUUUUAUUUAGCCCAAGAAAUGUCCUGAGAUGAUACAUAUAUAUUGCUUUUGUAAUUAGAAAAAGCAAUUUAAAAUUUUUUUCUUACUUCCAGUAAGUGAAUCCUUAUCAGAACUUUUUUUCUUUUAACCUCUAAGCUCCAUGGAAGAGAUCUUCUUGUCCUUGGCAAGGAAUAUAAAGAGAUACUUGUGUCCUUGACACAAGAAGCAGGAGAAAGGGAAUUUUAAAGCCUUGUCUGAGACCUGCCACCACCUAUCAUGGUGGUGAAACUAGAAUCUGAUACAAAACAUUAUGUCCAGCAUUAUGCAGCUUUCUAGUUCGGUAAGUAUCACAGACUGUGAAAUUCCAUAGAUCUGGAUUUCAAUAAUGACUGGUACUGCUUACCAGUGGAGUGACUUCAAGCUAAUUAUUUAAUUUCCAUCUACUCACUGGUAAACUGGGAAUAUUAAUGAUUAUCUUGCAGAGUUGUAAGGAUGUAUGUAAAGUGCUAAAUAUAGUGCCCAGCAUGUAUUUAAAGUGCCCAGCAUAUAGCAGUAAUAAAAAGAACUAUAUAUUUUUUUAAAAAAAUCAUGCCAGCUUCUUGAGCAUUUCCCAAGAGCCUGUUAUUAGCCAUAGACAAGAUGGCUGUUACUAGAAAGGCAUACUUCCAAAGGAUCUACAUAUCAGAAGACACAAAGAGUCAUUGCACGGGCCAGGGACAUCUCCCCAACGCUGGACAAUGCUGUGCAGCACCCUUCCCAGACUUCUGCACUCACGCAACACAAACACACACACUAUUUCUCUACAAAAGGGUCAAUAAAAUGGUGUCAUCCAGCGAUGCCUCAUGCCUAUAAUCCCAGUACUUUGGGAGACCAAGGCAGGUGGAUCACUUGAGCCCAGGAGUUCAAGACCAGCCUGGGCAACAUGGCA
rnacentral:lncRNA from 1 species